rnacentral:rRNA from 1 species
GAGUUUGAUCCUGGCUCAGGAUGAACGCUGGCGGCGUGCCUAAUACAUGCAAGUAGAACGCUGAAGAAAGAGCUUGCUCUUUUGGAAGAGUUGCGAACGGGUGAGUAACGCGUAGGUAACCUGCCUGGUAGUGGGGGAUAACUAUUGGAAACGAUAGCUAAUACCGCAUAAUAGCUUUGAUUGCAUGAUUGAAGUUUGAAAGAUGCAACUGCAUCACUACCAGAUGGACCUGCGUUGUAUUAGCUAGUAGGUGAGGUAAGGGCUCACCUAGGCGACGAUACAUAGCCGACCUGAGAGGGUGAACGGCCACACUGGGACUGAGACACGGCCCAGACUCCUACGGGAGGCAGCAGUAGGGAAUCUUCGGCAAUGGGGGCAACCCUGACCGAGCAACGCCGCGUGAGUGAAGAAGGUUUUCGGAUCGUAAAGCUCUGUUGUAAGAGAAGAACGUGUGUGAGAGUGGAAAGUUCACACAGUGACGGUAACUUACCAGAAAGGGACGGCUAAC